rnacentral:rRNA from 1 species
AUUGAACGCUGGCGGCAUGCCUUACACAUGCAAGUCGAACGGCAGCAUGGGUGCUUGCACCUGAUGGCGAGUGGCGAACGGGUGAGUAAUGCAUCGGAACGUACCCGGAAGUGGGGGAUAACGUAGCGAAAGUUACGCUAAUACCGCAUAUUCUGUGAGCAGGAAAGCGGGGGAGUCGCAAGACCUCGCGCUUCCGGAGCGGCCGAUGUCGGAUUAGCUAGUUGGCGGGGUAAAGGCCCACCAAGGCAACGAUCCGUAGCGGGUCUGAGAGGAUGAUCCGCCACACUGGGACUGAGACACGGCCCAGACUCCUACGGGAGGCAGCAGUGGGGAAUUUUGGACAAUGGGCGCAAGCCUGAUCCAGCAAUGCCGCGUGCAGGAAGAAGG